UACGGAGGUGGCAAGCGUUGCUCGGAAUCACUGGGCGUAAAGGGCGCGUAGGCGGGGAGGUAAGUCGGGUGUGAAAUCCCUCGGCCCAACUGAGGAACUGCGCCCGAGACUGCUUCUCUUGAGUCCCGGAGAGGAAGAUGGAAUUCCCGGUGUAGCGGUGAAAUGUGUAGAGAUCGGGAGGAACACCGGUGGCGAAGGCGGUCUUCUGGACGGUGACUGACGCUGAGGCGCGAAAGCUAGGGGAGCAAACGGG
rnacentral:rRNA from 1 species